rnacentral:rRNA from 1 species
GAUGAACGCUGGCGGCGUGCCUAAUACAUGCCAGUCGAGCGAACAGACGAGGAGCUUGCUCCUCUGACGUUAGCGGCGGACGGGUGAGUAACACGUGUAUCACCUACCUAUAAUACUGGGAUCACUUCGGGACACCGGCGCUAAUCCCGUAUAAUCUCUUGAACCGCAUUGUUCAAUAGUGAAAGACGGUUUUGCUGUCACUUAUCGAUGGAUCCGCGCCGUAUUAGCUAGUUGGUAAGGUCACGGCUUACCAAGGCAACGAUGCGUAGCCGACCUGAGAGGGGGAUCGGCCACACUGGAACGGAGACACGGUCCAGACUACUAAGGGAGGCAGCAGUAGGGAAUCGUACGCAAUGGGCGAAAGCCUGACGGAGCAACGCCGAGUGAGUGAUGAAGGUCUUCGGAUCGUAAAACUCUGUUAUGAGGGAAGAACAAAUGUGUAAGGAAAUAUGCACGGAUUGACGGUAACUAAUAAGAAAGCAACGGCUAACUACGUG